UACGGGGGGGGGCAAGCGUUGUUCGGAAUUACUGGGCGUAAAGGGCUCGUAGGCGGCCAACUAAGUCAGACGUGAAAUCCCUCGGCUUAACCGGGGAACUGCAUCUGAUACUGGAUGGCUUGAGUUCGGGAGAGGGAUGCGGAAUUCCAGGUGUAGCGGUGAAAUGCGCAGAUAUCAGGAGGAACACCGGUGGCGAAGGCGGGUCUCUGGGCCGAAAGCUGACGCUGAGGAGCGAAAGCGUGGGGAGCAAACAGG
rnacentral:rRNA from 1 species